AGGAUGAACGCUGGCGGCGUGCCUAACACAUGCAAGUCGAACGUCCUGUCUCGCAAGAGGCAGGGAGUGGCGGACGGGUGAGUACCACGUGGGUUAUCUACCGUGAGGUGAGGAAUACCGGCGAGAAAUCGCCGACAAGACCGCAUAGCCUCGGUGCAAGCCGAGGAAAGCUUUCUCGAGAGAGGGAGCGCCACACGAGGAGCCUGCGCCCGAUUAGCUAGCUGGUGGAGUAACGGUUCACCAGGGCGACGAUCGGUAGCUGGUCUGAGAGGACGAUCAGCCACACUGGGAUUGAGAACGGCCCAGACUCCUACGGGGGGCAGCAGUGAGGAAUUUCGUCAAUGGGGGCAACCCUGAACGAGCAACGCCGCGUGCAGGAAGAAGGUUUUCGGAUCGUAAACUGCUUUUCGUCGGGGAAGAGAACGGACGGUACCCGAGGAAUCAGCCCGGCUAACUACGCGCCAGCAGCCGCGGUAA
rnacentral:rRNA from 1 species